rnacentral:rRNA from 1 species
GAUGAACGCUGACAGAAUGCUUAACACAUGCAAGUCAACUGUGGCGGACGGGUGAGUAACGCGUACAGAACUUUCCUCACAACUAGGGCCAACAUUUGGAAACGAAUGCUAAUACCUGAUACUGUGAGAGAGCUUUGCGUCCCAUUAGCGAGUUGGAGAGGUAACGGCUCACCAAGGCGAGGAUGGGGAGCCGGCCUGAGAGGGUGAUCGGCCAAAAGGGGACCGGGACACGGCCCUUACGCCUACGGGGGGCAGGAGUGGGGAAUAUUGGACAAAGGACCAAAGUCUGAUCCAGCAAUUCGGUGGUAAAGAUUAAGUUUUCGGAAGGUAAAGUGCUUUCAUGUGGGAAGCGGUACCAACAGAAGAAGGGACGGCUAAAUACGUGCCAGCAGCCGCGGUAAUAC